UACAAAAUGAUGAAUUCACCACCACUGAAAUUGUGUAAAGUUCUCUAUUCUUGAGAAUUUAACGCAUAUUCAAAGAGGAUGUGUCUUGAGGCAUUUGUCUGAUGAAAAU